AAAUAAACAAUGUAAAUUCGUAUUGGCAAUUUUACCACCGACAAGUACCAUUGUAAUCCGCCAGGCGGCAUUUUUGACACGUGGCGAAAAAUAUGCGAUUCCGUCUGAUAAUCGACUGCACGGAUGGCAGCCAUUGAAUUGCUUUCUGGACCGUAUUGUGAUGUUUGUUGGAGCAAAGUGGAGAAAGUAUGCAAUACAGGGUUGAAUCACAUAACAUGACAUCAAUGGCUAGAGGAGAAAAGAUGGGGAAAACAUCACCAAAGCAUUCAGUCCAGGGAAACAGGUGGCAGAUAUGAGGGAUUCAGCUGGACACUUGACUGGCACAAACAUCCACCAAGGGACAAAACACGUUCCCCUCCUGGCCUGGAAACUCCAUCCUGAUGUCGACUGCUUCUUGUCGAUGCCUUCGAGAUGGGAUCCUGGUAGUAUCCACCAGACUCCUUUGCAGGCUCAGAGGAGAUCGGCCAAAAAAGGAUGUUACUGACCAAGGGAGUUAGCUGGCCAUUAAAUGAGGGGCAGUGCAGCAGGCUAAUUUCAAACAAAAUUGAGUCUGAUAAGUCGGAUGUCGAAUCAUGCCUUCAAUUCAAGAGUUAUUCUGCUAAAUCCACAGUCACCCACAAUCCGGCGAGAUAAUUUCAUAG